rnacentral:rRNA from 1 species
GAGUUAGCUCUCUUAGCCAUGAUAGAGGGCGGCGUACGGCUCAGUAACAUGUGGUCAAUCUACCCUCAGGACGGAGAUAACCUCGGGAAACUGAGGCUAAUAUCCGAUAGAUAAUGGAUCCUGGAAUGGUUCAUUAUUCAAACGGCACAUUGCUCAUGCGCAGUGUGCCGCCUGAGGAUGAGACUGCACCCUAUCAGGUAGUUGGUGGGGUAACGGCCCACCAAGCCUAUAACGGGUACGGGCCCUGAGAGGGGGAGCCCGGAGAUGGGCACUGAGACAAGGGCCCAGGCCCUACGGGGCGCAGCAGGCGCGAAACCUCUGCAAUGCGCGAAAGCGCGACAGGGCCACCCCGAGUGCUAGCCGCUGAGGUUAGCUUUUCCUUAGUGUAGUAAGCUAAGGGAAUAAGCGGGGGGCAAGCCUGGUGUCAGCCGCCGCGGUAAUACCAGCUCCGCGAGUGGUCGGGACGAUUAUUGGGCCUAAAGCGCCCGUAGCCGGCCUAUCAAGUCUCUGGUUAAACCUCAAGGCUCAACCUUGAGAUUGCUGGAGAUACUGCUAGGCUAGGGGGCGGGAGAGGCCGGGGGUACUCCCGGGGUAGGGGCGAAAUCCUAUAAUCCCGGGAGGACCACCAGUGGCGAAGGCGCCCGGCUGGAACGCGCCCGACGGUGAGGGGCGAAAGCCGGGGGAGCGAACCGGAUUAGAUACCCGGGUAGUCCCGGCUGUAAACGAUGCGGGCUAGGUGUCGGACGGGCUUAGAGCCCGUCCGGUGCCGCAGGGAAGCCGUUAAGCCCGCCGCCUGGGGAGUACGGCCGCAAGGCUGAAACUUAAAGGAAUGGCGGG